rnacentral:rRNA from 1 species
AUUGAACGCUGGCGGCAUGCCUUACACAUGCAAGUCGAACGGUAACGCGGGGCAACCUGGCGACGAGUGGCGAACGGGUGAGUAAUGCAUCGGAACGUGCCCAGUAGUGGGGGAUAGCCCGGCGAAAGCCGGAUUAAUACCGCAUACGACCUACGGGUGAAAGCGGGGGACCGUAAGGCCUCGCGCUGUUGGAGCGGCCGAUGUCAGAUUAGGUAGUUGGUGGGGUAAAGGCCUACCAAGCCUUCGAUCUGUAGCUGGUCUGAGAGGACGACCAGCCACACUGGGACUGAGACACGGCCCAGACUCCUACGGGAGGCAGCAGUGGGGAAUUUUGGACAAUGGGCGCAAGCCUGAUCCAGCCAUGCCGCGUGCGGGAAG